GGCGGAACUGGUAGACGCGCCGGAUUCAAAAUCCGGUCACUUCGGUGGUGUGGGUUCGAUUAAAUCUAGGUUUACCUUGUA
rnacentral:tRNA from 1 species